UUUUUGAAAAUAAUAUAAAGUCUAACCUGCCCACUGAUUUUAUUAAAGGGCCGCGGUAUAUUGACUGUGCAAAGGUAGCAUAAUCAUUUGUCUUUUAAUUGAAGGCUAGAAUGAAUGGUUGAAUGAAGUAUUAACUGUCUCAUUUUAAAAAUUUAAAAAUUUAAUUUUUUAGUUAAAAAGCUAAAAUAUUUUUAGAGGACGAGAAGACCCUAUAGAUCUUUAUAAUUUAAUUUAAUUAAAAUUUAGUUUAAUAUAAUUUAUUUAAAUAAAAAUUAUUUUAUUGGGGUGAUAGGAAAAUUUAAUUAACUUUUUUUAUUUUAAAACAUUGAUAUAUGAAUAUUUGAUCCUUUAUUAAAGAUUAUAAAUUUAAGUUACCUUAGGGAUAACAGCGUAAUUUUUUUAGAGAGUUCAUAUCGAUAAAAAAGAUUGCGACCUCGAUGUUGAAUUAAAGGUUAUUUUUAAAUGUAGAAGUUUAAAGUUUAAGUCUGUUCGACUUUUGAAUCUUU
rnacentral:rRNA from 1 species